AUUGAACGCUAGCGGGAUGCCUUACACAUGCAAGUCGAACGAGUGGCGGACGGGUGAGUAAUAUAUCGGAACGUGCCCAGUAGCGGGGGAUAACUACUCGAAAGAGUGGCUAAUACCGCAUACUAUGGGAGCGGCCGAUAUCGGAUUAGCUAGUUGGUGGGGAAAAGGCUCACCAAGGAGAAGAUCCGUAGCUGGUUUGAGAGGACGACCAGCCACACUGGGACUUAGACACGGCCCAGACUCCUACGGGAGGCAGCAGUGGGGAAUUUUGGACAAUGGGGGAAACCCUGAUCCAGCCAUCCCGCGUGUAUGAGAAGGCCUUCGGGUUGUAAAGUACUUUUGGCAGAGAAGCGGUAUCUGCCGAAUAAGCACCGGCUAACUACGUGCCAGCAGCCGCGGUAAUUC
rnacentral:rRNA from 1 species